UGUGUUUGUGUCUGACUGUGUGUGUGUGUGUGUGUGUUUGUGUCUGACUGUGUGUGUGUUUGUGUCUGACUGUGUGUGUGUGUGUGUGUGUGUGUGUGUGUGUGUUUAUGUCUGACUGUAUGUGUGUGUUUGUGUCUGACUGUGUGUGUGUGUGUGUGUGUUUGUGUCUGACUGUGUGUGUGUGUUUGUGUCUGACUGUGUUUGUGUCUGUGUAUGU